rnacentral:rRNA from 1 species
UACGUAGGGUGCGAGCGUUGUCCGGAAUUAUUGGGCGUAAAGGGCUCGUAGGCGGUUUGUCGCGUCGGGAGUGAAAACACCGGGCUUAACUCGGUGCUUGCUUUCGAUACGGGCAGACUAGAGGUAUGCAGGGGAGAACGGAAUUCCUGGUGUAGCGGUGAAAUGCGCAGAUAUCAGGAGGAACACCGGUGGCGAAGGCGGUUCUCUGGGAAUGACCUGACGCUGAGGAGCGAAAGUGUGGGGAGCGAACAGG